rnacentral:rRNA from 1 species
GAUGAACGCUGGCGGCGUGCUUAACACAUGCAAGUCGAACGAUGAAGCCCAGCUUGCUGGGCGGGUUAGUGGCGAACGGGUGGGUAACACGUGAGUAACCUGCCCUUAACUAUGGGAUAAGCAUGGGAAAGUGGGUCUAAUACCGGAUAGGAGCGUCCACCGCAUGGUGGGGGUUGGAAAGAUUUAUCGGUUUUGGAUGGAUUCGCGGCCUAUCAGCUUGUUGGUGGGGUAAUGGCUAACCAAGGGGACGACGGGUAGCCGGCCUGGGAGGGUGACCGGCGACACUGGGACUGAGAGACGGCGCAGUCUCCAACGGGAGGCAGCAGUGGGGAGUAUUGCGGAAUGGGGGCGCGCCUGUGGUGGAGACGCUCCGUGAGGAAUAACGGGCUUCUGGUUGUGAACAUCUUUCUGUAGAGAAGAAGAGAAAGUGACGGUACCUGCAGAAGAAGCACCGGCUAACUACGUG